GCUUCAAGAGGUCCAGUUAUUAAACAUGAGUGUGGAAGGAGAAGAACUCCAGCUGGUUCAUGAAACUUAUGACCCGUUUCCUGACGAUCUCCCAGCUGUGAUCUCUGUCCUCCUGAAAGAGUAAAACAACAUCUUUCAAAAUACAGAUGCAACUUUUUGUUCCUCUUCAUUUUGUAAGCCCCCUGCAUUGAGAGAGAAAUCAAUCAGUUCCUCUGGCUUGAUGCUGCUGGUAUUAAACAUGCAGUAUACACACACUGUACUCACACAUGAGUGCAGUCCAUCGAUCUCCUCAUGCACGACAUCUAAGAAAUCUUCAAGUUUUUUAGCAUCCCAGGGGACGACGGCAUCGUCAAAGAGGACAGUGAUCUCCACCAGAGCCUGAAUGACGAACAGGAUCUGUUUCUCAGGCUGAGAAGAAGAAAAAAAGACAUAUGAAUAUAGAUUCGUAAUCAACAGCACAUACAGUAUCAUGGUGUCUUUUUAAAAUAAUAAUAAUAAUAGUAAUUUUUACUAA